rnacentral:rRNA from 1 species
CUAGCCAUAAACCUAAAUAGUUCCAACGACAAAACUAUUCGCCAGAGGACUACUAGCAAUAGCUAAAAACUCAAAGGACUUGGCGGUGCUUUAUACCCC